UAUUGAUGGAAGCAGUGGAGAAAGGACUAGAGGUUGGAAAGGAAAGACUCCAAAGUUGCCUGGAGAAAUUAUCCUGAGGAAAAACAAGAUCCAGACAUUUCCGAAAGGGAGGAGUCGGGGGAGGGCAAGGAGGGUUGAAGAUUAGGCAACACUGUGUCGGAAUCAUACAAAUUUGAAAACCGCAACCAAAAACCAGUGCUUUGUGGUGGGGUUUGUUUUUUCCAUUUUAAAUUGCAAGAUAAACAUGGAAGUUUCCGAGGUUCACAAUCUUAGAUUCUAAAGGAAGCAAUAAAAGAGAGAUGCCAGCAGUAAAAGGUCAUCAUACAAAAUUGAGCUGCAUUCACCCCUUCUUCAGUGCACCUUCCCUCCCACCAUUGGUUCUAGAUUCCCGGGCCCAGGAGUUGGAAGCCUUAAUGCUUUCAUUGUGGAAUUUGGGCCACUAGGGGCACACUGUGACCUCAUCAACACGGACAUGGUUCUGGAUUAUGCUACUAAGCCACCCUUGGAGCUGCUGCCGUAGAGAGAGAACUCUGGACUACAGAGACCAGGCAUCUGACCCCUGCGGUAUUUCCUAGACUUUAUGUGUAAUAAGGAAGGAAACGCCAAAUUCCCUGGGUCAGACUCAGAUUUCUUCCAUUUCUGAGUCCAUAACUGAAAACAGUUUCCCUGCAUCCUUCACUGCAUAAAGAAGAGUUUUUUAACAGGCCUGUUUCGCUUCCAAAAAUCCAUUCUGUGAUGGAAACCGUGGGGGCUCAGAAGAUCCAAUGCCAGGAGAAAGUCCAGGGGAAAUGCAAGGCUCGCUCUUGGAAAGCCACAGACAAUCACAGGGCCAUGAAGGACACUUGACACACUUGUCAGCUAUCUGACCCAGGAAGAUGAUUUUAUAUCCUUUUUCUCUGAAGGCAUACCGAGAAGGAUUUAUGUGAUGAUCCUUGGUCCUUCUGCCUCCAACUAGAAUGCAAGCUCAAGAGGAAGUGUGCCUUGCUCAUCAGUCUACCUUAAAACCUAGAAGGGUGCUUGCCACCUAAUAAGUGCUCAACAAGGGUUUGUAGAAUGAAUAAAUAACCACCUUCAGCCUAUCACUUUGGGCUUUGAUAAGGAUAACUGAUGCUUCUUAAUUUUAUGUAAAGCAUUAUGCAAAACAUGGUUUCAAAACAAUUAAAAAGACUCCCUCGCUCUCCAAUAUACCUUUCAAAUUGGAUUUGUGCCUGAAAAUCCUCUUACAGAGAAAUUUAGAGCCACCGUUGUUUAGGCCGUUUAUUCCAACCGAUCCAUGAAUCCCCUUUAUUGGCCAUCUUGCCAGUUAUCAUUCAGCUUUUGCUUGGAUACCUCUAGAAACAGAGAGCUCAUUUCUCCCAGAGCAGCUGUCCUUGUGCGUCUAUGACUAUUAGAAUGCUCUUUCUUAAGUUUAGCUGAUAUCUUUUUUUCCGUAGCCUCCACCCAUUGUCUUGGUUGUCAGAAGCAAAGUAAUCACUUUCCACUGAUUCCUUUCUACACCUAACAACAUAUAGGAGAAAUUCCAGCUUGAGAAUCUUGCAUGUGUUCACCUUGAUGAUUCAAACAUGAACAGCAGGUAUGCAGAUCACUUAAGACUCACCUUGUAAGCCAGGAGCAGACUCCAGCAUACAGAGCAAAGCAUUCUAGACAUGCUGAUAUUUUUAUGUGCCCAAGAACACAACCAUUUACAGCCCAGAGGUACUUGACUGCUAAUGAUCUUUGAAGUUAACAAGGUGGCAGAGAGGAGAAUUCAUCGACAACACCCAUCCCCUUAGCCCUCAGGAAAUAUCUACAAAUGUACCACCACUAAAAGGCAACAAGCCUUUUAUAGAUUCACAGUGAUUUAUAACCUUCUAUUUGGCUGCAGAAGGGAAAAGAAGACCAGUUUUCACAUACCCUGGAGAAGAGCAAAAGGGAAAAUGAAGAACUAUCUGAGAAAUGCUCCUGAAAAUGCUGGAACAAAAGCGAAAUUAUGCAAAGACCCUGGUUAAUCUCCAUAUCAAUUCCAUGGUCCAAAAUUACACAGGUUCUGGAGAAAUAGAUUCCAACAAAAGCCAUGGUAUCCAGAUGAUCGUCCGCUGCCAAGUGCCCCAGUAUGAACGCACAGACGCUGGGUCUAGAGGGGGAGGGGAGUUUGAGAGGGUCCUCAUACCAGGGUUCUGAAAGCUUUCCCAGACUGAGUCAACCAUGUCACUCUUGUAAGUGUGUGGUUGGACCAGAUCCCAUAGUUUGAUCCAGAUUUUAAGAGUGGAGAAACUCUGGCAUAGUCUUUGUUUUAAUACAAAAACCAACCAAUGAGGGAGUAGAGGACACAGAGACUUAACCAAUCAUCACUUCAGAGAGCAAGACCCUAAAGCACCACAGUAGCCUGAAGAUUUGAAGGCCCUUCUCCAUCCUCCUGAAGGCAUGAGACCCUCUCACAUACACUAAGACUCACCUUGGAAGGAGAAAGAUGGAAGGCUCAACUCUGAAAAUUGAACCUGAAGGCAAUCAUUACACACUGGAAAGAAAUCAUUUAAAAAAGAAGCUACCGACAAAGUUAAAUCCUCAACUAUGCAGUAGGAAGGGAGCUGGUAAGAAAGAAGGUGUAAUAAUAAAGAAAUAAGCAAACAGAUAAGGAAAUAAAUGAAGGAAUGAAAAUAAAAU
ensembl:lncRNA